ensembl:lncRNA CEROX1 cytoplasmic endogenous regulator of oxidative phosphorylation 1
CUCUCUCUCUCUCUCACACACACACACACACACACAGCCCGUCUCGCGCCUGAGGUCUCGCCCGCAGGCCGGUGGCGCGGGGUCAGCUGCUGCCUGCGGUCCAGGACAGGGUCGGUUCCGCCGCGCAGCGCCCAGGCCCAGCUCGUCCAGAGUCUGCGGACAGCGCACGUCCAGAAGGAGCUGGUCCGUUACUAGAAAAGUCCAGAUGCAAAGUCGGGGGUCGUGCUGCCGCUUCCUGCCAGCGCACCGCACCCACCUGGGGCCGCCACCGACCGCACAGGACGCGCCUCCUACCCCCUGUUCUGGCCCGGCCGAGAGCUGGUGCCCCCAGCGGCCGCCCGCCCCCGUCCGCAGACCCCGGGGCCCUUGCUGCUUUGCAUUGGGAACAACCGGAGCCAGGCCCGGAGCUGAGGGGGCCAGGGCCUUUGGAGGAAGCAUUGGCCUCCAGGCUGAAGAGCAAGGGCCGUGUCACCUGCCCGGAGGGCGGUCUCAUCUCUGCAGCCAGACAUCGCCCACUCGGGCUCACAGUGCCAUCCGGGUGAGGACCUCCGUGGAGAGCUCUCUUUGCCAAAGAAAAGCAGUUGCAUUAGGUCUGCGAGCAGGCAGGGUGGCCUCUUCCUGGCUCCCCAUCCACCAAGGAAGCUUCAAGUCCCUGGGACACAGGCACUUUCCCACACAGGAUGGAGCCGGGCCACCCUCACAGCUCCUGCCCUGCAGACGCUGGCCUUGUGGAGGGAGGCAGGCAGCAGGAGCAGUGCUUUCUGGGCCUCUGUAGCCAGAGCUGGCCCUGCUGCAGCUUACGUCUGCCUGCAGCCCAGACGUCCUCCUGGUCCUCCUGAUGCCCCCGACCUCCACGGAGGACGAGCAUUUCCAGCCCAGCCCUCCCCAUCUUCACCUCGCACUCCCCUGACACACUGGGAGCCUCCUGAUCCGUGAACCCGCGCUGGCGGGAGUAGCUACUGACCGCUGGGGACCCCUGCCCAGGCUGUUCGCAUGUGGAAAGGAUUCAGGGAGCAGGCGAUGCCCAAAGCGUGGAGACCAGCACUGCUCUCUCCCCAGUGACAGGUGCACGCCCAGAUCACGGAUGUGUCGGGAACAGCUGUGCUCCUGCUGCUCAGCGUCCGUCACUCCAGGCUGGGAGCGGGUCCCCAAGCUUCUGGCUGGGCCUAUCCGUCUCCACUCUCAGUGUGGGGGUGGGGGGCGCCAACAGCACGCAUUUGCUCUCUGCACUUCUCGUCUGAUAAUGGGCAGAGGGUCCUUCUGCAGCCCCAAAACAUCCCUAGGCAGGAGCCCUGGGGCCCCAAGCAGCCAGGGAGGUGAGCACCAAGGACCUCCCAGAGAGCGUCACCUUCCGUCGAGGGAGGCCCAGCCUGGGGGCGGUGUCUGAGACUUGGAAUCAACGCUUCCGUUGGUGGCAGUAAAUCCUGUCCCUAACCCUGCAGUACAGCUGUGCCGUGUACAGGAGGGUGCUGUCUGACGCCAGACACCUGGACUACAGAUCGCAGCCUGAUUCCUGGUCAUUGCUCCACUGAACCCCAGACCCCAGCCUCGUUCUGGGCCCUCAUCCCCUAGAUCCAGGGACCCCAGCCCCAUUUCAGCCCUUGGGCCCUUGUAGGAUGCGAGGCCCUGGGCCCCAGCCCCCAGCCCAUCCGUGGCCCAGGCACUGGGGGGCUGAGGUCCUCUGAGAAGGGACACAGGGCCUGGGGGGCUCUCUCAGCCCAUCAGCAGGAGAGGACUGACUCCAGAAAAAUCAGCGUUUGUACCCACUCAGGCUGCCAAGACCUGUGUCCGUCCUUCCAAGCUCAACCUUCAGAGUUCAUGAGGCCCCUUGCCCAGAA